UUUUGCAGAAGAGGAGCACUACCCAGGUAGGUGUAUUGUGGAGCCGCAACUCCAAUACAAUUCACUAAGGGGGAGUAGUGCCGAGGUAGGUCAAGAUUGUGGUUUUGAUCUGUCGGUUGACUUGGGUUGAGUCCCAUCAACUGUCAUCAGCGCAGACUGAUGAUGAGCUUCUGAGGUA
rnacentral:ncRNA from 2 species